GAAAUGCGAUACGUAAUGCGAAUUGCAGAAUCCAGUGAGUCAUCGAACUUUUGAACGCACCUUGCGCUUCCGGGUAACCGGGAGCAUGUCUGUUGGAGUGCCUGUUCUCAACCACAACUUUCUCAGGAAGUGUGUCAGCUUUGUUCUCCUAAUUCGUUGGGGUACAUUGCGUGAGAUGAAAGGCCAAUUCCGCAAUAACCCGCUCUUUCUUCGUAAAUUGAGGGAGGUUGUGAAUGUCGUGGAAACACUUUAUUCAAUCAAAAGCAACCUUUUUUCUUCAGCCUUUACGAACCAAAAGCCCCAUUGCGAACUUUGUAUCGGGCCUCCAAUCAGACAAGAAGACCCGCUGAAUUUAA
rnacentral:misc_RNA from 1 species